AUUUAAGGCAAGCUGCAAGAUUUUGUACUGAAGCAACUGAGAAGCAUGUGUAUGCUUCACCUUGGUAGCUCUUCUGUGGGGAUAGUGACAUUGGACUCAAGGUUGCAUGUACUUCAGAUCCAGUCCUAGGGCGCAAGGCCCCCUUUGAGAAGCCACUGAAGCUUGGGCACAAACUAGUCUGCUGGAGCAUAUAGCAGAGUUACAGAUCAAAGAACAGAGGUCAAUGUGUUUUCAGAGGCCAGUUUCAAGCAAGAAGUCAUAUCUGGGAUUUCUAUUUCAUAUAGGUUAUUUGAUGCGACAUCUAAGACUACGUUUUCAAUAAAACAGGAACCAAGCAGACUAUAUGGAAUGAGCCCAGAAAAUGGUUUUAUAAGAAGACAGCAUCAGGGUCAAUGCUUACGUCUGCCCUUUGCCACAGUUCUCCUUCAUUGUUUCAUGCAGAAAUAACUCACAUUUUAUGAUUAAAAAAAGUUUUGUUCUCAAGAUUCACUGCGGUGCUCACAUACACAUUGUCUGCGUUGAUUUUACAACAGAUAGGAAGAUACCGCCUUUCAAAUCGAUUUUGUGAAAAGUUAAACGUGAAAAGCUGCUCAACUUCUGUAUGUUGUGACAAAACUGAGCUGCACAAAACUGAACUGCCUCCCAACUUUGUUUCUACAUCUGUUUCAUUCAUUUGUAUUUAUUAUAAUUAUGUCUAGACUUGGUUUGCUGCAUUAUUUUAAACCUUUUUUCGCUUUUUACUUUUUUGCUUUUUUUUUUUUGCUUUUCUGUCUUUUUACUUUGACUGCUUACUUGGAGUAAAUAUUUUACUAAUUCUAUUUUAACUGAGUAACAAUGUGUCUAUAGAACACUAUAAUGUUAUAUUAGUUUUUGGGGGAAUCAAUAGGUAACUAACUGUGACAGCUUGGAAAUCAGAGAUCUAAUAUACCAUACUGGGAAGCAUAGACUAUCCUGGUUCUCAGGUAAGCAUGUGCCAUCAUUACUACAUGCCUGAGGCAACAGUUACCAUAUGCACUGGGAGUGUUGCCAUUAGAUUUCCAGGGAGGGUUCUACCAGAUUUUAAAUUAGGAAUGACCUUUAGAUAAAAUGGCAAGAUCUAAACAAUUCAG
rnacentral:lncRNA from 1 species